rnacentral:rRNA from 12 species
GUUAAGUGACAAAGCGUAUACGGUGGAUGCCUUGGCAGUCAGAGGCGAUGAAGGACGUGUAAGUCUGCGAAAAGCACAGGUAAGCUGACAAAAAGCGUUAUAACCUGUGAUGUCCGAAUGGGGAAACCCGGCCUUAGGGUCAUCUUACAGUGAAUACAUAGCUGUAAGAAGCAAACGAGGGGAACUGAAACAUCUAAGUACCCUCAGGAAAAGAAAUCAAUUGAGAUUGCCUUAGUAGCGGCGAGCGAACGGGUAGUAGCCGAUGGUUUAUGUUGUAGUGGAAUCUUCUGGGAAGUUGAGCGAUACAGGGUGACAGCCCCGUACACGAAGCAACAUAGAGCACAUAUUAAGUAGGACGGGACACGUGUUAUCUUGUCUGAAGAUGGGGGGACCAUCCUCCAAGGCU